rnacentral:rRNA from 1 species
CCUACGGGAGGCUGCAGUGGGGAAUAUUGGACAAUGGGGGCAACCCUGAUCCAGCCAUGCCGCGUGUGUGAAGAAGGCCCUCGGGUUGUAAAGCACUUUCAGUGAGGAAGAACGCCUGGUGGUUAAUACCCAUCAGGAAAGACAUCACUCACAGAAGAAGCACCGGCUAACUCCGUGCCAGCAGCCGCGGUAAUACGGAGGGUGCGAGCGUUAAUCGGAAUUACUGGGCGUAAAGCGCGCGUAGGUGGCUUGAUAAGCCGGUUGUGAAAGCCCCGGGCUCAACCUGGGAACGGCAUCCGGAACUGUCAAGCUGGAGUGCAGGAGAGGAAGGUAGAAUUCCCGGUGUAGCGGUGAAAUGCGUAGAGAUCGGGAGGAAUGCCAGUGGCGAAGGCGGCCUUCUGGACUGACACUGACACUGAGGUGCGAAAGCGUGGGUAGCAAACAGGAUUAGAUACCCCUGUAGUC